ACCAGGUGUAGAUGUGAGUGUUAGGAUUAAAUCAUUAUUAUUUAAAAACACACACAAAAUAAAAUACCAUUUUUAAUAAAUUAGCAGCUGUUGUGCAUCAGUGUAGAAUUAAAAACCAGACCCCUGAUACUCAGAGCUGCACAAAAACAAUGUACUGGAACUCGAGUGGUUUCUUCAGUGGAAACUGAUGGAUGAAAUUUGCAGCAUUUCACAUAAUAAUAAUAAUAAUAAUAAUAAUAAUAAUAAUAAAGAUUAAGCACAGGACUCGAUCAUCACUGUCUCCUUCAACAGACUCACAUCUCAUUCAAAACCCAAACGAUUCACGAAUAAACCACACACACACUUCUCACACUGAAGUGUUAAAACCCCAAUCAGCUGAGACGUGACCAUGUGCAGAACCUCAAACGGAUCAUGACGAGGUUCAGGAUCAACACGGGUUCCAGAAACCCACAGAGCCGGGACGAGACCAAAAGCAACGGCUGAAAACAUUCCCAGGAAUCGUCAUGUGAUCCAGAGCUGAUUUAAGGAGGGAUCACGCAGAUGUGAAGAACCUGACGUGAAGUUGUAAUGGGAGAAACUGGACAUGUGAAGUUUGUACAUCUCAGAAAGUGUGAAAGAGAAACAUUGAAAACUGCAGAAGGAUUAAAUCCUGGAUUUGGAGUGUAUUUUGUAAACACUUUCCCCCCUCACACUAAUUAAACACUAAUAAACACACAAAUAUCAAAUAAAUACGAUCAACUGCUCCCCCUGUGAUUUUAUAGUACAGGAGCAGGCCCCGCCCACUGACUCCACGCAUGCGCACACGCGCCCAGCGGAUCUCGCUCUGUUUUAAAGAAGCGAGUCUGAAGAGAGAAAAAAACCCGAUUCUAAAGCAAUAAAAGUGAAAGUUGUUGUUAAAACAUCGUGUUUUGGGCGUAAAUUGAGCCUGAACUCCCCGAACACACGGUCACGUGCAGGAGCGCAGAGUUGAACAGAGUUUAAAGGUGAAAUCAGUAGAUGAUGAUGAGGAUGAUGAUGAUGAUGAGGAUGAUGAGGAGGUUCGGAGUGAAUAUGCGGAGGUUCCUGAGCCGCCAUGUUGUUCCUUCCGCUCUACUGAGCUCCAAUAAAUCCCCUGCAGACUGAAUAAGUUUCUCGUGUGCACAUGGACAGUCUGUAGAAGGAUUAUCAGAUCACUUGUGAUUGUUCUAAAAGCUGUAGGAGAAGAAAAGAGAGGGUUCAGGAGGCCGUGUGGAGGAGCAGCAGGAGGAUUUUGUUGACCUCACAGAGGCGCUGAACUUCACUUCCCCUGAGCCUCUUUGCCUCCGCCGGUGGGAGAUGUAUAAACCCACAACCCCCCGACUGUCCAGAAAUAAUCCACAUAUUUACCAGUAAUGGCAGUGAAUUGCUGAAUUAACCCGUUCAGCCCCGGGCCUGAAGCAUCUCCGAGAGCCGCCAUCUUGCCGCCACUGUCAACAACAACACCACUGCGCAUGCGCACUAUUGACCAACGGGAGCGCGCGGGAGCAGGCGCGUCACCGCCUCAGAGCUCAGGUGGUUCAUCCGUCUCCAUACCCCUCUGUCCUCUA